UUUUUUUCUCCUUCUCUUCCCCCUUUUUUUUUUUGUUCGCCCUUGUUUUUCAAAAACAUGUCCUUUCGUUUUUUUUGGAAGGUCUGGCCUGCCCAGUGAAUAAAUUUAACGGCCGCGGUAUAUUGACCGUGCAAAGGUAGCAUAAUCAUUAGUCUUUUAAUAGGAGGCUGGUAUGAAAGGUUUAACGAAACAUAAACUGUCUUAUUUAUAAAUUUUAACUUAACUUUUAAGUUAAAAGGCUUAAAUAUUUUUGGAGGACGAGAAGACCCUAUAGAGCUUUACAUUAUUUAUUUUUAAUAUUUAUUUGUUCAAUAAUUUAAUAUUAAUUUUAAUAUUGUUUUGUUGGGGUGACAAAAAAUAUAUAACUAACUUUUAUUAUUUAAUUUACAUCAAUUUAUGAAUUUUGGAUCCAAUAUUAUUGAUCAUUAGAUUAAGUUACCUUAGGGAUAACAGCGUAAUCUUCUUUCAGAGUUCAAAUUUACAAGAAGGCUUGCGACCUCGAUGUUGGAUUAAGAUAAUAAUUAGGUGCAGCAGCUUAAUUAAUAGGUCUGUUCGACCUUUAAAUCUAACAGAUCUGUCACGUC
rnacentral:rRNA from 1 species